AUUGAACGCUGGCGGCAGGCUUAACACAUGCAAGUCGAACGAGUGGCGGACGGGUGAGUAAUAUAUGGGGAUCUGCCUGCUGGCGGGGGAUAACUACUGGAAACGGUAGCUAAUACCGCAUACCACCAGAUGAACCCUUAUUGGAUUAGCUAGUAGGUGUGGUAACGGCUCACCUAGGCGACCAUCCCUAGCUGGUCUGAGAGGAGGACCAGCCAACAUGGGACGGAGACACGGCCCAGACUCCUACGGGAGGCAGCAGUGGGGAAUAUUGUACAAUGGGGGCAAGCCUGAUGAGGCCAUGCCGGGUGUAUGAAGAAGGCCUUCGAGUUGUAAAGUACUUUCAGUAGGGAGGCGUUACCGACAGAAGAAGCACCGGCUAACUCCGUGCCAGCAGCCGCGGUAAUUC
rnacentral:rRNA from 1 species